rnacentral:rRNA from 1 species
UGCAAGUCGAGCGGAGAGAAGUAGCUUGCUACUGAUCUUAGCGGCGGACGGGUGAGUAAUGCUUAGGAAUCUGCCUAUUAGUGGGGGACAACAUUCCGAAAGGAAUGCUAAUACCGCAUACGCCCUACGGGGGAAAGCAGGGGAUCAUUAGACCUUGCGCUAAUAGAUGAGCCUAAGUCGGAUUAGCUAGUUGGUGGGGUAAAGGCCUACCAAGGCGACGAUCUGUAGCGGGUCUGAGAGGAUGAUCCGCCACACUGGGACUGAGACACGGCCCAGACUCCUACGGGAGGCAGCAGUGGGGAAUAUUGGACAAUGGGGGGAACCCUGAUCCAGCCAUGCCGCGUGUGUGAAGAAGGCCUUUUGGUUGUAAAGCACUUUAAGCGAGGAGGAGGCUACUCUGGUUAAUACCCAGGGAUAGUGGACGUUACUCGCAGAAUAAGCACCGGCUAACUCUGUGCCAGCAGCCGCGGUAAUACAGAGGGUGCGAGCGUUAAUCGGAUUUACUGGGCGUAAAGCGUACGUAGGCGGCUUUUUAAGUCGGAUGUGAAAUCCCUGAGCUUAACUUAGGAAUUGCAUUCGAUACUGGGAAGCUAGAGUAUGGGAGAGGAUGGUAGAAUUCCAGGUGUAGCGGUGAAAUGCGUAGAGAUCUGGAGGAAUACCGAUGGCGAAGGCAGCCAUCUGGCCUAAUACUGACGCUGAGGUACGAAAGCAUGGGGAGCAAACAGGAUUAGAUACCCUGGUAGUCCAUGCCGUAAACGAUGUCUACUAGCCGUUGGGGCC